rnacentral:rRNA from 1 species
CCGUUGCCGGCGACCGGCGCACGGGUGAGUAACACGUAUGCAACCUGCCCGUGGCAGGGGGAUAAGCGGGGGAAACCCCGUCUAAUACCGCGUAACGCGGCCUUGGGGCAUCCCAAGGCCGCCAAAGGGAGCAAUCCCGGCCACGGAUGGGCAUGCGGCGCAUUAGCUAGUCGGCGGGGUAACGGCCCACCGAGGCGACGAUGCGUAGGGGUUCUGAGAGGAAGGUCCCCCACACUGGUACUGAGACACGGACCAGACUCCUACGGAAGGCAGCAG